UACGGAGGGUGCAAGCGUUAUCCGGAUUCACUGGGUUUAAAGGGUGCGUAGGCGGACAGGAAAGUCCGUGGUGAAAUCCUGCAGCUUAACUGCAGAACUGCCGUGGAUACUCUCUGUCUUGAAUAUCGUGGAGGUGAGCGGAAUAUGUCAUGUAGCGGUGAAAUGCAUAGAGAUGACAUAGAACACCGAUUGCGAAGGCAGCUCGCUGGGACGUUACUGACGCUGAGACGCGAAAGCGUGGGGAGCAAACAGG
rnacentral:rRNA from 1 species